rnacentral:rRNA from 1 species
GCUUGUCUCAAAGAUUAAGCCAUGCAUGUCUAAGUACAAGCCUCAGUAAGGUGAAACCGCGAAUGGCUCAUUAAAUCACACCUAAUCUACUGGAAAGUUACUAGUUACUUGGAUAACUGAGGUAAUUCUUGAGCUAAUACAUGCUGUAAGCCCGACUUUUCGGAAGGGCCGUAUUUAUUAGAUAACAGACCAAUGCCCCCCCGGGCUUUGUGGUGACUCAUAGUAACUAAUCGGAUCGCAUGGGCCUGUCCCGCGACAAACCAUUCAAGUUUCUGCCCCAUCAGCUUUCGAUGGUAGUGUAUUGGACUACCAUGGCUUUUACGGGUAACGGAGGAUUAGGGUUCGAUUCCGGAGAGGGAGCCUGAGAAACGGCUACCACAUCUAAGGAAGGCAGCAGG